rnacentral:rRNA from 1 species
UACGUAGGGUGCGAGCGUUGUCCGGAAUUAUUGGGCGUAAAGAGCUCGUAGGCGGUUUGUCGCGUCUGCCGUGAAAGUCCGGGGCUCAACUCCGGAUCUGCGGUGGGUACGGGCAGACUAGAGUGAUGUAGGGGAGACUGGAAUUCCUGGUGUAGCGGUGAAAUGCGCAGAUAUCAGGAGGAACACCGAUGGCGAAGGCAGGUCUCUGGGCAUUAACUGACGCUGAGGAGCGAAAGCAUGGGGAGCGAACGGG